rnacentral:rRNA from 1 species
ACAAUGGAGAGUUUGAUCCUGGCUCAGGAUGAACGCUAGCGGGAGGCCUAACACAUGCAAGCCGAGCGGUAGAGAUUCUUCGGAAUCUUGAGAGCGGCGUACGGG